UCUCCGUUGGUGAACCAGCGGAGGGAUCAUUACCGAGUUUACAACUCCCAAACCCCUGUGAACAUACCAUUUGUUGCCUCGGCGGUGCCUGCUUCGGCGGCCCGCCAGAGGACCCAAACCCUUGAUUUUAUACAGUAUCUUCUGAGUAAAUGAUUAAAUAAAUCAAAACUUUCAACAACGGAUCUCUUGGUUCUA
rnacentral:misc_RNA from 1 species